GAGCGGAACAAUUUUAAAGUGACACUGCGACAAAUAAGUUCUCCAAUAAUUGUAAGAGGAUGUCAUUACCUAAACCAAAUGUAAAAGAAACAGUAUUUAUCACCAUUUGUUCCUUAUACACCAAUAAAUGGUAUGCCGAUUUCCAGUCGACAUAUCAUCUAACUCAGUAAUUUUCAAAUGAUGGUGUGAGCAUAAAAGUCAAAAAUGUUGACGAACAUUAAUGCUAAUGGACUCUUCAAGGGUAUAUUUAGGCAGGGACUGAGAGGCAGAGGAAACACCUCUCAUUUGAUUACAUUAUUUUUGCAUUAUAAUUGCAUUAUUUGCCCUCUUCCUGGAAUAAAUAUCCACCUUCACCAAACUGCCCACCCAUUAGCGUUCUGAUUUGUUUUAUGUGCCUUUCAUGAAAGUAAUUGCUGUUGAUUCGAAUGCGGAACAUAAUAAUGUGAUAGACCUGCAAAUAUACAUAGAGUACAGACUAUAGACUGUUCCGUGGCAAUCAGUUUAUGGCAAAUAAAUUGAUGCAUCGAGGAUUAAUAUGGAGAUGGAGGCUGUACACCCAAAGAGAAGUCAGUGUCAGAUCGGAGUGAAUUAAAUUGGCUACCAAAUGGCCAGCACUUUCAUUGAGUUGAGAUUCAGUGGUCAGGGCUCAAUGGUCGCCGGGCAGUGACUGAACCCGUCGUUGCCUCUGACUCCACCACUCGCGCAUAUUGGCAUUCCCUUUUUAUGGCCUUUUGCUGCUGCCAUAAAUAUUUCAAAGCCCAACGUCGCUUUGGUUGCCAUGCACACAGCACAGCACAGAGCACAAAGAGGAGAAAAGGCAAUGGUAACAACUGCUAUCCACACACUAGACCAUUGUCCAUAUUGGUCAGUGUCUGUCCGUGCUCCGUGCUCCUUGCUCCGUGCUCCGUUGUUUGUUCCUUUUCUGACCCUCUCGGGCUAUCCUUUUGCGGGUGUGCUCUCGCUCUGAUGUGAUUUUAUUUAAAAUUGUUAGGCAAAGCGGAAGUAACUCAUUCAGUUAGCAACAAAAUCAGGCGCCCUGUUUUGUGCCCCUACCCUGCCUCCAUUCUUCCCCCAUCCUGCUCGGCUAAAUUGGAGUGUGACUUCCGCAUUGCAUUAGGGCUAUACUUAGUUGUUAGUGCUGUAGCUGUAGCUGUGGCUGUAACUAUAGCUGGAGCUGUGGCUGCCGUCCAGUUGCUGAUUGACUUACGUGCCUCUCGUUUUCCUCUCCGUUUUCGGUUUGCCGUGGUAGAUUUUUUGCCCAGUUUUUACGUGCAGCGGAAAUGCAUUUUUCCAGUCACGUUUCCUCGGGCCCAGACAGACGCCGGGCCAGAGCUCCAGCUGCUGUUGUUGGAGCUCAUCCAACCCACGCCUGCAGUGGCUGCAGGGGAAUUUAUUAAGCCGGGCGUGAUCUAUGCUCUCUGGCUGUGUGAACUAAAGUGCCUUGUAAUGGAGGUGGAUCUUCCUUCCGCAGCCGUCUGCCUAAUUGUAUGCCAGGUCGCGUAUGCAGCUUAGCAAUUAAUGGAGGCAGACGAGCCAAUUCAAGGGCUCCCAGGGAGACAAAAUUCGAUAUUCAAUAUGUUUUCAAUUUGCCGUUUUUCUCGUCCUUUGGUUUUUUUUUCUGUUGCCUUGCCGUUGGUCGUAUCAAAGGCAAUCGCAAAAGCCGUAAAACAAAUAAAAAUAAAACGAA